CCCUUAGAUGUUCUGGGCUGCACGCGCGCUACACUGAUGCGCUCAACGAGUUUAUGACCUUGCCCGGAAGGGUUGGGUAAUCUUUUCAAAACGCAUCGUGAUGGGGAUAGAUUAUUGCAAUUAUUAAUCUUCAACGAGGAAUUCCUAGUAAGCGCGAGUCAUCAGCUCGUGCUGAUUACGUCCCUGCCCUUUGUACACACCGCCCGUCGCACCUACCGAUUGAAUGGUCCGGUGAAAUCUCCGGACUGGCGUGAGUCGGAGCAAUCUGACAAACACCGGAAAGUUGAUUAAACCUUACCAUUUAGAGGAAGGUGAAGUCGUAACA
rnacentral:rRNA from 1 species